AAGGGAGACCAAUUGACGUGAAGUUAAAGAACGCAUUUAAGUCUUAGCUAUCACAGGUCAAACCAAGGUCGGUUCAAAAGUCUUAAUGUGGAAAAAAAGACGGUCAAACUAAUUGUUCUGGUUCUAAAUCUAACCAAAGAAGAACCAAGAAUGGGCUAUUAGCUCAGGUGGUUAGAGCGCACCCCUGAUAAGGGUGAGGUCCCUGGUUCAAGUCCAGGAUGGCCCACCACAAUAAUCAAUCUAAUGAAGUAGUGCUUCAAUUAGGGAGAGAAAAAGAGGGGGUAUAGCUCAGCUGGUAGAGCGCCUGCUUUGCAAGCAGGAUGUCAGCGGUUCAAAUCCGCUUACCUCCACCAAGAAUAAAAAUAGCCUAAAGAGAAUAAGUUCAGCAAGGUCAUAACUACGAAAAGUAGAGUGAGCCUGCUGGAGCGUUAGACUCUAGUAAUGAACCUUGAAAACUGCAUAAUAUCUAGAAGAAGCAAAUUAACCAAAAGGAAAGUUUGCUUGUGAUAGAGCCAAUAAAAAGAACUAAGUAAGUAAUCAAUUAAGUCAAAAAACUAAGGCGUGAACGAGAGUUCACAAACUAGUCCAAGAUAGGAUAAAACCUAUUGAGCAAAGAUAAUAGAGAGAAGUUAGAUGCAUGCAUCUAGCCAUCGAAAUGGUCAAGU
rnacentral:tRNA from 1 species